UGGGGAAUAUUGCACAAUGGGGGAAACCCUGAUGCAGCGACGCCGCGUGAACGAAGAAGGUAUUCGUAUCGUAAAGUUUUGUCCUAUGGGAAGAUAAUGACAGUACCAUAGAAGAAAGCUCCGGCUAAAUACGUGCCAGCAGCCGCGGUAAUACGUAUGGAGCGAGCGUUGUCCGGAAUUAUUGGGCGUAAAGGGUACGCAGGCGGUUUAAUAAGUCGAAUGUUAAAGAUCGGGGCUCAACCCCGCAAAGCAUUGGGAUCUGAUAACCUUGAGUAGUGGAGAGGAAAGUGGAAUUCCUAGUGUAGUGGUGAAAUACGUAGAUAUUAGGAGGGAUACCAGUAGCGAAGGCGACUUUCUGGACACAAACUGACGCUGAGGUACGAAAGCGUGGGGAGCAAACAGG
rnacentral:rRNA from 1 species